rnacentral:lncRNA from 1 species
UUCAGGGCCCAUAGCCCAUCACUGCUCUUGCCUGUGCCUCAGGUUCUCUUCUGUGAAAUGGGGACAGCAAGCCACUCACCUCCCACCCCCACCACCAGGGCUGCUCUGGUCCCAACCUGCUAUGGUUCAUUGGGACAUCAUGGCACCAGCAGCCUGGGCCUGCUGUGGGGCCUCUUUCUCUCCCAAUGCUCUUCUUCGACAUUUCCUGCAAGACAUCAGCAGAAGGAUGUGAGUCACACAAGACGCAGAGGACUCUGACAGCAUUUGAGGAAGACAAAUUGGGAGACAGACCAACAUUUGGCUCUGAAAGCUUUGCCCAGCCUCUCAUGAGAUCACAUUUCCCUUCUUUGGGCCAAACUCUUUAAAG